rnacentral:misc_RNA from 1 species
AGAGGGAAAAGCUCAAAGUUGGAACCUGGUAGGCAUAGCUUACCCGGAUUGUAAACUAAAGUUUUCGAGUCGUUUAGUCAGCCAGGUAAAUAAGUCCUCUGGAAAGGGGCGACAUAGAGGGUGAAAUCCCCGUCUUUGGCCUGAGUUUUGAGGCGGUUUUGGCUUUGAAAACGAAAAGUUCCAGUUUUUUUGGGAAUUCCGCCCUAAAAUGGGGGGGUAAAUUUUUUCCUAAAAGCUAAAAUUUUGGCGGAAAGGCCCGAUAGGGAACCAAGUUCCCGUGAGGGAAAGAUGAAAAGCCCUUUGAAAAGAGGGUCAAAAAGUACGUGAAAUUGCUGAAAGGGAACCGUAUGAAAUCAGACCUACUGGUAGGUAAUCAAUCUUUCCUUUGGGAAGGAUGCACUUGCCUACUAUGUAUGCCAGCGACAUUUUGGUUGGGAGGAAAAAAAUAAAGGAAAUGUAGCUUAGGUUUCGGCUUAGGUGUUAUAGUCCUUUAUAAAAUACUCUCGGCUGGAAUGAGGAACG